AUCUCGGUUCGAAUCCGAGUGGCGGCA
rnacentral:tRNA from 1 species